CUGUCGCGCCAAGGGCGCAGUGUUCCGAGUCCCCGGCUCUCCACGCCCAGCUCUCUGCUCCUCCCCGGCGGCCCCACCGGGAAGGUGGCUGUCCCCAGUUCAGCGCAGUCGGGCAGGGGAGUGCCUGGUUUCUUGCCCCCGACCUGUGGAGCUGUAAGGGCCUUCGCGGGACAUCCAAGUGCAGGUUCUACCGGCCCGUUCCCCAUCUUUGGGCAGUAAGCGCUAAGGCAGGCGUGCUACGGACCUGAGCCGUAUCCUGCAGAAACCGGCUGGCUGUGUGUCGGGGUCACUGGUUUCUGGUUUUUCGUCUUUCACUUCAUGAUGUGAUGGUGUGGAAUUAAGUAUGAGCAAUGCAGAAUUAUGCGAUUAGCUACAUUCCCUCUGAUGACAGCUAUGGACCGAUCCCAGUGGGCCACCUUGGCGCUUCGUGGCAGUGGGACGGUGGGAGCGUCAGGCUCCCAGUGGCCCCUCGCUCACCUGUGCCGGCUGCCGAGGCCGCACCUGUGGGGCGAGUCCCAGUCUGUCGUCUGUGCUCCGCUUUGGGGCUGUGGCUGGAGAGGCCCUUGAGGGAGCAGUAACGGGCACGUCGGGGGCUCAGGAGGCCGGUGCUCCUGUGCAUAUCUGUGCGUGACUUCCUGAGCAAACCACCCUUCAGCACAGCUUGGGGAGGGAACCGCGGCGGUGAAGCAACCGAAAAGCACCGUGAGGUCUGCAUGUCAACAUCCGUCACCGGAACCGCUAACGCCUCCCCCACUCUUCACUUGUUUUCCCGUGGAACCCUGUGUUCCAGGAACUUGGCAUUGAUACUUGGUAGGGAGACCGCACCACGGACCCAGCAACGGUCACGACCACCUUGAAGACAGGACGGAGGCAGCUGGCGGGGCCUACCAGAGGCCCGUGGAAACGUGUAAGACCCCUCAGCCACCUACGCCGGGCAGGUGUGCGGGUUCGAAGGCAUCGGCCUGUUGCAGCAAAGUCACAAAACUGUCAUUCCUCUUUGUCCCCAAAGUCUGUUGUUCGGGUUGUAUUUCGGCUCCGGAGCACAGAGGUCAGUUUUCGAUGAUCACCGUCCAGAGUGACGGGGUUCUGGAGGCAGGUGGCCUGUAAGGUGAACCUGGCCAGCAACAUGCCCCUCCCCCACCACACCGCCCCUUCUGCCUGCGCUCGUCUAGGGCAGAGGACACGAGUCCACUCGGGCAGGAUAGGUGUGCCACUGGGGGCUGGCGGGUGAGCCAUGCCGGUGACCUGGCCUUCCCUCUCCGUGGGGGCCACAUUCAGAGCCGCGUGUAGGUUGUCCAUGUGGAGCACAGGCUUCCCUCUGCACGUGAUUCUGUCCUUGGCCCCCUUGGGCAGUGGGCCCGCAGAGCCUAGCACCCCAGACCCCCCAUUUGGGUCCCAGAAGGCCCAGGCUGCUGUGUUGGGUCUCCUUCAUCCCUGUCCUUUGUGACACUUGGAAAUCCCUUCAGCCGGAGGCCCCUGGGAUCUGACUGUCCGAUGUGAAGGUGCAGACGUUCACCCGUCGGGGAGGGUGGAGUGAGCUUCUGGGUCCCUCGACCAACAAAUCGGGCAACUUUUGUCUAGAAAAGAGAGCCAAGUGCAUGGGUGCUUUAGUGACGUUUAUUCCAAGUUACAGUUCAACAUCAGCCUCACCCGAUAAAGUAUCUCUGUGGGAACCGGACAAAAAGCCAGAGCCCCCACCACCACCCGGCCCCGGCCCGACGGCUAUUUGGUUAGCGGCUCAGCCUGACCCUAGCGCUCGUCCCGUGCCAGGUAAGUAACACAUGAUCUUGGUUUGUUUUCCUCGCUGUGGUGGACUCGUGCGGCCCGUGUCCUUCUCCAUGGUUUUGUCCCCAUUCUUUGAACAGCUUCAUGGGGUUCCAGAACACGCGUCCUGCUGGAGGACAUCUCCUGGGAGCCUCCUGUAUGCACGUGGAUCGUGUCAGUUUCCUGGGGCGGCUGAAACAAGAGAAAUGUGUUGUCUCCGUUCCGCAGUCACAAGCCCGAGGUCGAGGCAUCGGCAGGGCCACGCUGCCUCAGAAACCUCGAGGGGAGGGUCCUCCCUGCCUCUUCCUGCCUCUGGUGUUCCUUGGCUCAUGGACGCAUGGCUCCGGUCUCUGCCUCCGUUGUCAUGGGUGUUUCCCUGCAUGUCCGUGUCUUCACGUGGCCAUCUUCUUAUAAGGACACCAAUACUGUUGGGUUAGGGCCACCUUAUCCGGGGGACUCCAUCUGCCAGAGCCCUAUUUCCAAAUCAGCUCACAUCCCGAAGCUAGGACUUUGGGGGACACAGCUCAAUCCACACCAUCCAUGCAGAAUAGGGUCCCAGAAUACUGUCGGCUCAGAGUAGGUCUGCUUUAAUCUAGUAGAUCCAAAGUUUAGAUCCACCGCAAUCUCUGGCCCAGCGGCCAUGGCCGCCCUCCCCAUCCGGGAUGAGGACUUUUGUCCUUUGGGCUUCAAUGUCACCUGCCUCCCUGACACCUGGCCGGUGCCGCGGUGUUCCUUCCUUAUUCUGGUGAGUGGUCGGCCCUUUUCUUUCAGCUCUUCGUAAAGUUAUCCUUUUUCUACUUUACUUGUUGUAAACAUUGCUGUCUCCUAAUCGAUGGUGUGUCUUAGCAUAACGUCUUUCACGUUAAUGUUUCAUAUCUUUGCGUGGCGAUACUUUAUGCCUUGAGGUUUUCUUUCUUGUUGAAAAAUGCUUCCUAAUCUUCAAGAUUAUGGAACACUUGCACUACUUUGUUUUUGCUUUUUGAAAAGAGUUAAUGGAUUUCCUAUUUUUAGAGCAUUUUUAGGUUUGCUGAAAAAACUGAUCAGAAAGUAGUUCCCAUAUCCCCCCACCCCCAGUUCCUCCUGUUACUAACAUCUUGCAUUAGUGUGGUUUACUUGUUAUAACUGAUGAGCCAAUACUGAUACGUUCCAUAGUUAACCUCAGGGCUCACUCUAGGCCCGCACAUUCUGCGGGUUUGGACAGACGUGUAAUCCGUGUGCCCGAUACUGAGAGUGUCACACGGAGUAGCUUCACUGCCCUGAAUCCUCUGUCCCUCCCGUCCCCCCGGCCCCUGGCCCCCACUCGUCUUUUACCGUCUCCACGGUUUUGCCUUUUCCGGAAUGUCACAGACUUGGAAUAAUACCGUGCGUAGCCUUUU